UGGGUAACCUGCCUCAAAGAGGGGAAUAGCCUCCCGAAAGGGAGAUUAAUACCGCAUAAUAUGUUUAAGUCGCAUGACUUUAACAUCAAAGGAUUUUCUUUUAGAACUUCCACUUUGAGAUGGACCCGCGGCGCAUUAGCUAGUUGGUGAGGUAACGGCUCACCAAGGCAACGAUGCGUAGCCGACCUGAGAGGGUGAUCGGCCACAUUGGAACUGAGACACGGCCCAGCU
rnacentral:rRNA from 1 species